UGAAUACGAGACGCUAAGGCGUCGAAGUAGUGUAUGUCAUACUUCCAAGAAAAGCUUGCACUGUCAUAAGUAAAAAAUGCCUGUACCAUAACCGACACAGGUGGGUAGGUAGAGUAUACUAAGGGGCGCGAGAUAACUCUCUCUAAGGAACUCGGCAAAAUAACUCCGUAACUUCGGGAGAAGGAGUACCUUAUUCUAUAAGGUUGCAAUAACAAGAUCCAAGCAACUGUUUAUCAAAAACACAGGUCUCCGCUAAGUCGUAAGACGAUGUAUGGGGGCUGACGCCUGCCCAGUGCCAGAAGGUUAAAGAAGUCGGUUAGCAUUAGCGAAGCUGGUAACUGAAGCCCUGGUGAACGGCGGCCGUAACAAUAACGGUCCUAAGGUAGCGAAAUUCCUUGUCGGGUAAGUUCCGACCCGCACGAAAGGCGUAAUGAUUUGGAUACUGUCUCGGAGAGGGGCUCGGUGAAAUAGACUUGUCUGUGAAGAUGCGGACUACCUGCACCAGGACAGAAAGACCCUAUGAAGCUUUACUGUAACUUGAAAUUGAAAUUGGACUUUAUUCGCGCAGUAUAGGUGGGAGGUGUUGAUUAUAAUCUUGCGGGAUUAUUGGAGCCAUCAGUGGGAUACCACUCUUGUAAUGUUAGAUUUCUAACUUUUGGAUCAUUAUCUGGUCAAAGGACAGUUUCAGGCGGGCAGUUUGACUGGGGCGGUCGCCUCCCAAACGGUAACGGAGGCGUACAAAGGUUUCCUCUGAACGGGUAGAAAUCGUAUCUAGAGUGUAAAGGCAUAAGGAAGCUUGACUGUGAGACCUACAAGUCGAACAGGGACGAAAGUCGGUCUUAGUGAUCUGACGGUACUGAGUGGAAAGGCCGUCACUCAACGGAUAAAAGUUACUCUAAGGAUAACAGGCUGAUCUCCCCCAAGAGUUCACAUCGACGGGGAGGUUUGGCACCUCGAUGUCGGCUCAUCGCAUCCUGGGGCGGUAGUACGUCCCAAGGGUUGGGCUGUUCGCCCAUGAAAGCGGUACGCGAGCUGGGUUCGGAACGUCGUGAGACAGUUCGGUCCAUAUCCGGUGUAGGCGUUAGAAUAUUGAGAGGAGCCUUCUUUAGUACGAGAGGACCGAGAAGGACAUACCUCUGGUGUACCAGUUAUCGUGCCAACGGUAAACGCUGGGUAGCUAUGUAUGGAGUGGAUAACCGCUGAAAGCAUCUAAGUGGGAAGCCCACCUCAAGAUAAGUAUUCGC
rnacentral:rRNA from 1 species